GGUUGUUCUGCAACAUGUCAUUUUGGUGAUUGUGGAAAUCCAGUUAAAAUUCGUAAAAAAGUUUGUCAAGCUGGUAUAUUAAGUGGAGAUGUAUAUGACUUUCAAAGUUGCAAUUUCCAAGUACCUUGUCCAGGAAAUUUAGCACAGUGGAACUCAUGGGGAACAUGCUCUGCCUCUUGUAAAAGUCAAGUGAAUGGUCCAUAUCAAAACAGAAACCGAACUUGUGAACAUUAUUUUUCAUAUGAUCCAAAUUAUAUUGGUUGUUACAAUAGCAGCUUAAAUGAUCAGCAACCUUGCAAUCAAAAUGUUUCAUGUCCAGGAUAUUUAACACAAUGGAGUUUGUGGGGAACAUGCUCUGCCUCUUGUAAAAGUGUAGUGAAUGGUCCAUAUCAAUAUAGAAAUCGAUCUUGUGUUGACUAUUUUUCAUAUGACCCAAAUUAUAUUGGUUGUUCCGAUAGCAGAUUAAAUGAUCAGCAACUUUGUAAUCAAAAUGUCUCAUG
rnacentral:lncRNA from 1 species